ACCUACGGGGGGCAGCAGUGGGGAAUAUUGCACAAUGGGGGAAACCCUGAUGCAGCGACGCUGCGUGAAGGAAGAAGUAUUUCGGUAUGUAAACUUCUAUCAGCAGGGAAGAAAAUGACGGUACCUGACUAAGAAGCCCCGGCUAACUACGUGCCAGCAGCCGCGGUAAUACGUAGGGGGCAAGCGUUAUCCAGAUUUACUGGGUGUAAAGGGAGCGUAGGCGGUGCAGCAAGUCAGAAGUGAAAGCCCGGGGCUCAACUCCGGGACUGCUUUUGAAACUGUUGAACUAGAUUGCAGGAGAGGUA
rnacentral:rRNA from 1 species